rnacentral:rRNA from 1 species
GACGAAGGAUGCAAGCGUUAUCCGGAUUCAUUGGGUUUAAAGGGUGCGUAGGCGGACUUGUAAGUCAGUGGUGAAAUCUCUUUGCUUAACAAAGAAACUGCCAUUGAUACUGCAAGUCUAGAGUAUAGAUGACGUUGGCGGAAUAUGACAUGUAGUGGUGAAAUACUUAGAUAUGUCAUAGAACACCGAUUGCGAAGGCAGCUAACUAAACUAUAACUGACGCUGAGGUGCGAAAGCGUGGGGAGCAAACAGG